UCUUCUUGUAAAGGAGACCUUAAUAUUAUGCACCAUUUUGAAGGCAUGAAAUCUUUACCAAAACCGAGAGCAAGAAAAUGCACGUUUUAUCUUAUUAAAUACGUAUUGUACUAUUAAAUGAGGAAUGAGGUAAAAUGCCUGGAUGGAAACCAGAUUGCUUCAAGUCUGCACAUGAUGAAAGAGAUGGAAAACCAGGCAAACAUAAGUCGUAUGAUGAAUUGGCUGUGGCAAGAUACAGUGACAUACCAGAUGACAGGAAGGGGACCUGUUUUGUGGAGUUGUUUAAAAAAGAAGGCUGCAGCUUAGGACUUACGGUGUCAGGUAAGUUCUAACUGAUGAAAAAAUUUGCAGAAA
rnacentral:misc_RNA from 1 species